GAUGAACGCUGGCGGCGUGCUUAACACAUGCCAGUCGAACGAUGAAGCCCAGCUUGCUGGGUGGAUUAGUGGCGAACGGGUGAGUAACACGUGAGUAACCUGCCCUUAACUCUGGGAUAAGCCUGGGAAACUGGGUCUAAUAUCGGAUAGGAGCGUCCACCGCAUGGUGGGUGUUGGAAAGAUUUAUCGGUUUUGGAUGGACUCGCGGCCUAUCAGCUUGUUGGUGAGGUAAUGGCUCACCAAGGCGACGACGGGUAGCCGGCCUGAGAGGGUGACCGGCCACACUGGGACUGAGACACGGCCCAGACUCCUACGGGAGGCAGCAGUGGGGAAUAUUGCACAAUGGGCGCAAGCCUGAUGCAGCGACGCCGCGUGAGGGAUGACGGCCUUCGGGUUGUAAACCUCUUUCAGUAGGGAAGAAGCGAAAGUGACGGUACCUGCAGAAGAAGCACCGGCUAACUACGUG
rnacentral:rRNA from 1 species